ACUCUAGUGUGAAAAUUUUUGGUUUCAUUGGAGAUUCAGUUGUGUCAUGUGAUGUUUUUCUGCAAAUUUUCUUAUAUUUUGUUGAGAACAGACACAGUGUUUUUCUGGAAGCUAUCUAGUGAAAGGGCCUGUGAUGUUUUACUGGAGCGAACAUUUGAGAGAACACGUGAUGUUUGGUAGGAGUAGAGAAAUGCAUCAAGGAAUUUCUGGAGAUAUUCUAGCUGCUUCUCCGCACUUCAGCAGACUAGUGCCUAUUUGUAGAGCCUUGCAGCUUCUUCUGGAUCAAGCCGCUGCUGUUGAUUCAUGUUUGGUGUUUGCUAGUGGACUGGACUGCUGACAAUGAAGAUUGGAAUUGCCAAAAGAACUACUUCUAAACAGGUCCACACCCCCUUGUUCACCUAGCCAUCUUCCUCUCUGACCUUUUGUCGGUGGGCUCUAUGGGAGGUUGAAGUGUUUAAGAACUCUUACUAAAGUCGGUUUUGAAAAACAUAA